UGCGUAGGUGGUUGUGUUAGUCGUUUGUUAAAUCCCAUGGCUCAACCGUGGAGAUGCGGGCGAAACGGCACAACUUGAGAGCGUGAGAGGUGAAUGGAACUCUAGAUGUAGGGGUGAAAUCCGUUGAUAUCUAGGGGAACACCGAAAGCGAAGGCAAUUCACUGGCGCGUUUCUGACACUCAAGCACGAAAGCGUGGGUAGCAACG
rnacentral:rRNA from 1 species